UCCCGCGGGGGCAGGGCGAGGGGGGCACCGGAUCCGUCCCUUCCAGGUCCCUGAGCCCGAGACAGGUGGGCACGGAGUGGCACCACCAGCCUUCCGACGCGGGGACCACGCGGGCAUGGCGGCAUCCCUCAGGCUCGGCUGCCACUCCACGGGGGCCUGGCUCUCGGGGGGCGGCCUGGCCCCGCCUGGCCCGACGCGGAACGAGGCUGUCCACGGUGGGGCUCGGCGGGCUCAGCCUCUCUGCGCUUUGGGGGCCUCACUGCGCACGUCGGCAUGGGAGGGGCCGGCAUGCGAGGGGCGUGUGCGGCCCCCUUCGUGUGCUCCUUCUGGGCAGGGGCCGGGCUCACCCCACGCGGGACGGGGCCCCUGGAGAAGCCAGCCCAGCCUCCUUCCUGUUGCCCCAGGGUUCACUUCCUCUCCUGCUCAGCCGGCAGCUUUGCCCUCCUCUUCGGCCCCCCGCGUUUCCCCAGCGUUUCGGGCCCCAAAAAGACAGGGGGGGCCGCAGAAUGGGGGGCAGCUCCAGCCCUCCCCCUCCCCCCCCCCCCACCGGGGAAACCCGGCUACAGCAGCGGGACCCAGAGCUGUGGCAAGAUGGGGACACUGGCAGGGGCCACCCCAUCGCCCUAGCAGCCGGCCCGCGGGGAACCUCUGAGGCCCCAUCCCGAACAGAGGAUGGGGGAGACCACAGCUGUGGGACCGGUCCUGCCCCCUGAAUUCCCAAGCCUCCUUCUGGACAGGAUUCGGCUCGGGGGACGUGGCCGGAGAGGAGGAAAGAGCCCUGCCUGGGGGUUAGGAGGAGGCCCGGGUUCCAGGCUUGCUCUUCCUCACCCUACGUGACUUUGGGCGAAUCCCCUCCCUUCCUGGUCCUGAAGGUCUUUACAAGACAGGGCCGGACUCAGAGCUCACCGAGGGCAGUGGAGCGGACCGGGGGGUGUCUGCCCCAGCUCUGUUCAGGGUAUCUCCCCUCCCCCGGCAGCCCCUCCCCGCCCUGGGCCUCAGUUUCUUCAUCUGAAACGGGGUGGCCUUUCUUCCCACCCCCCCCCCCCACACGCCGGAUGACGCUCAGGGGAGAUGGUGCGGAGAAAGGGAGACUGUCCACCUGGCUACCGGGGAGGUGGGAUCGUGCCCUUCUGCCUGUCCGGCCCCGGGAGGGAGGAAAUGCGCCUCUCUACGCGUGGGUGGCCGGGGUGGGGUGGGGGUGGUGCACAGGGGCUCAGGCUUUGCCUGGCCCGAGUCCCUCCCUCGGCUAAGGGUGUAUUUUCUGGGGUCGGCCGCCACAAGCCCCCACCCCCGGAGCCCUCCCUCUGUGCCCUCUCGCUCCUGAACAUUACAGACGGGCAGAGAGCCCCGAGCCCAGGGCUCCCGGGAGCUGAGACUCACUUGGCUGCCAUGAAAUGAAGCCCGCGGAGCUCAAAUCGUGAUCACCGGCUUCCAGAGAAAAGGUCUGCUGGGCUGCGUCUGCAGGGAGCUUCCUCCUCGCUGGGCCUCAGGGCCUGGUGCCUCCACGCCCCGACAGAAAGCUCUGCCCCCCGAGCGCCAACCACCGAGCCACACCUCCGGGCCCUCAGAUGCCUCGCAGGAGACGCAACGCUGCCGUUUCUUCCCUCUCUCCCUCUCCCCUCCCCGCCUCGCAACCCCAGCAGUCCCUCGUGGUCUCCCCAUCUCCAAGUGGCAGCACCAGCCAAGCCAGCCACUGAGGCCAGGGACCCCCACCUCCCCGCCACGGGGAGCUGGCGAACUCAUGAGCCGUGAGAUCACGACCUGAGCUGAAGUCCGACGCUCAGUGGACUGAGCCACCCAGGCGCCCCUUAAGGCCUUUAAGUUUACUGGAACCAGCCUCCGAGGCAGGUACUAUUGUCGCUGCUCACAGAGGUACCAGCCUAAGAGGCAGAGGCAGUUUGCAGCAUGGUGGGGACGGGCAGCUGCACGCUUUGCUGGGGCAGGUGUGGCGGGCACGGCGUGGCCCUGCGUCCCCUGCUUCCCGGGCCAGGUGCCCAUCCACGCAGGGAAACUGAAGCGUGUUGGACAAAGCGCCUACCGGGGCCGGGUUAAGGGAACACAGAAGAGACAGUGCUACAGCCCAAGACUAGCGACAUGAG